GUAAGCCACCCUAACACUAUCGGGAAAGCUGCCUUCGCCGGCUGGCCUUAGGAAGUCUCUCCUCAGGUUUCCCUGAGGAAAACCAGUUACCUCAGCCCUGACCAAGGAGCCGGCCUGAGGUCUAGAAGGGAAGGUAGCAAAUGGUCGAGUCAAGCGAGCAACCCACACUAACAACAUACUAAGGAUUCUACUGUCGCUUGAAUCCCCAGUGCGGGAAAUUAGCUACCGCAGAUGGAGCUGAUUUUUGGCAACAGCCUAAAGGGCAACUCCUCUCUUCUCUGCCAAACAUCACUACCAUUCUCUCACCUUUCCAGUUGCCAGAGAGAAAAGCAAGAUACCCAGGGACCACCAAUCAGCAGCAUGGUUGUAAGGCCCUCCACUCAGGACCUCUGGGGCUACAGAUUUGAAAAAUACUUGUCAUUGACAUCUGUUGGCUAUCCUCCUUCCCAAUGCUUACCCAUCAGCUUCAGCCUCUCUCUCACCCAUGUA